AAUGUAGGUAAGGGAAGUCGGCAAAACGGAUCCGUAACCUUGGGAUAAGGAUUGGCUCUGAGGACUGAGCCGGUCGGGCUGGGGACCUGAAGCAGGAACGGCACUGCACCGGGACUGGGCGGGGCUCGCCGUUCACGCGGCGCGGCCAAGCCCGGACCAGCGUCGGGACCUUCCCGUGGAAAGCCUCAGCUGCGCGGCGUCUGAGGGCUUCGUGCCCAAAGUGCUAUGCUUCGGCCGGCAAAAAACAGUCAACUCAGAACUGGCACGGACCGGGGGAAUCCGACUGUCUAAUUAAAACAAAGCAUUGCGAUGGCCGCUGGUCGGUGUUGACGCAAUGUGAUUUCUGCCCAGUGCUCUGAAUGUCAACGUGAAGAGAUUCAUCAAAGCGCGGGUAAACGGCGGGAGUAACUAUGACUCUCUUGUUUCCUAUGGCAUGCACGCCUUGGAUUCGGGGUGAGAGCAGAUAGUUGCUUGCCUAGCGCAAAGUCGAACUCCCACCUGCUCGUGGUGCCUGCCG
rnacentral:ncRNA from 1 species